rnacentral:rRNA from 1 species
UACGAAGGUGGCAAGCGUUGUUCGGAUUUACUGGGCGUACAGGGAGCGUAGGCGGUUGGAUAAGCCCUCCGUGAAAUCUCCAGGCUUAACCUGGAAAGUGCAGAGGGGACUGUUCAGCUAGAGGAUGGGAGAGGAGCGCGGAAUUCCGGUGUAGCGGUGAAAUGCGUAGAGAUCGGGAGGAAGGCCGGUGGCGAAGGCGGCGCUCUGGAACAUUUCUGACGCUGAGGCUCGAAAGCGUGGGGAGCAAACAGG